ACAGGGAUUGCCCUAGUAACGGCGAGUGAAGCGGCAACAGCUCAAAUUUGAAAUCUGGCGUCUUUGGCGUCCGAGUUGUAAUUUGCAGAGGGCGCUUUGGCAUUGGCAGCGGUCCAAGUUCCUUGGAACAGGACGUCACAGAGGGUGAGAAUCCCGUACGUGGUCGCUAGCCUUUACCGUGUAAAGCCCCUUCGACGAGUCGAGUUGUUUGGGAAUGCAGCUCUAAAUGGGAGGUAAAUUUCUUCUAAAGCUAAAUACUGGCCAGAGACCGAUAGCGCACAAGUAGAGUGAUCGAAAGAUGAAAAGCACUUUGGAAAGAGAGUUAAAAAGCACGUGAAAUUGUUGAAAGGGAAGCGCUUGCAGCCAGACUUGCCUGUAGUUGCUCAUCCGGGUUUCUACCCGGUGCACUCUUCUAUAGGCAGGCCAGCAUCAGUUUGGGCGGUUGGAUAAAGGUCUCUGUCAUGUACCUCCUUUCGGGGAGAACUUAUAGGGGAGACGACAUGCAACCAGCCUGGACUGAGGUCCGCGCAUCUGCUAGGAUGCUGGCGUAAUGGCUGUAAGCGGCCCGUCUUGAAACACGGACCAAGGAGUCUAACAUCUAUGCGAGUGUUUGGGUGUCAAGCCCGAGCGCGUAAUGAAAGUGAACGGAGGUGGGAACCUUUCGGGGUGCACCAUCGACCGAUCCUGAUGUCUUCGGAUGGAUUUGAGUAAGAGCAUAGCUGUUGGGACCCGAAAGAUGGUGAACUAUGCUUGAAUAGGGUGAAGCCAGAGGAAACUCUGGUGGAGGCUCGCAGCGGUUCUGACGUGCAAAUCGAUCGUCAAAUUUGGGCAUAGGGGCGAAAGACUAAUCGAACUAUCUAGUAGCUGGUUCCUGCCGAGUUUCUCUCUCACCAGAGAGAA
rnacentral:rRNA from 1 species